rnacentral:rRNA from 1 species
GUGAUCAUACCAGUACUAAUGCACCGGAUCCCAUAAGAACUCCGAAGUUAUGCGUGCUUGGGCGAGAGCAGUACUAGGAUGGGUGACCUCCUAGGAAGUCCUCGUGUUGCACCU